UACGUAGGUGUCGAGCGUUAUCCGGAAUUACUGGGCGUAAAGGGCACGCAGGCGGCUGUUCAAGUCCGGCGUGAAAACUCCCGGCUUAACUGGGAGAGGCCGUGGGAAACUGAACAGCUUGAGGCAAUGAGAGGGAUGCGGAAUUCCCGGUGUAGUGGUGGAAUGCGUAGAUAUCGGGAAGAACACCAGUGGCGAAAGCGGCAUCCUGGCAUUGGCCUGACGCUCAUGUGCGAAAGCGUGGGUAGCGAACGGG
rnacentral:rRNA from 1 species